rnacentral:rRNA from 1 species
UAGUGAAUCUUCCGCAAUGGGCGAAAGCCUGACGGAGCAACGCCGCGUGAGUGAUGAAGGUCUUCGGAUCGUAAAACUCUGUUAUUAGGGAAGAACAAAUGUGUAAGUAACUAUGCACGUCUUGACGGUACCUAAUCAGAAAGCCACGGCUAACUACGUGCCAGCAGCCGCGGUAAUACGUAGGUGGCAAGCGUUAUCCGGAAUUAUUGGGCGUAAAGCGCGCGCAGGCGGUUUUUUAAGUCUGAUGUGAAAGCCCACGGCUCAACCGUGGAGGGUCAUUGGAAACUGGAAAACUUGAGUGCAGAAGAGGAAAGUGGAAUUCCAUGUGUAGCGGUGAAAUGCGCAGAGAUAUGGAGGAACACCAGUGGCGAAGGCGACUUUCUGGUCUGUAACUGACGCUGAUGUGCGAAAGCGUGGGGAUCAAACAGG